GUGCAAACUUAAUCACCAACUCACAUGAUGUUGCGGAAGUGAAGGGAACCAGGUUGGCUCAAGUGAUUGUGGUGACAGACAUGUAUUAGCUUCAGAAGCUACUGGGGUGGCCCAUUCUAUGCCAGUACAGUA